CGACCUUCCCUCGCUCUCCUCUCCCCGCCUAUAUCGUAACCCUAACCCUACUAAGAACUCUUCUUCGAUCUCUUGUGGCAGUUUCUCCCGCCCGGCAUGGCUGCCGAGCGCCCGCGAGGAUCGACCCCGCGUCCGGUGAUCGGGAAGGCAGGGAGGUACACGGUGUUCAUCACCCCGCCGCCUGCCUCGAAGCCUUCCGAGGCCCCGAGAGCAGAGAGCGCCGGCCCUGCAAAGGCGUAUCCUUUGCUUGUCGAUGCUCUUCAUUCGCCGCUGCCGGUCCAGGUCCCGCCGAAGCAGUUCGAUAAGGUGGACGCGAAUUCGUCGGGAUCGGUGUUCGGGUUCUUCUGGGACGCCAUCGCGAGGGUCCAAGAUGCGCAUUCAAGCUUGGAUGAGCAUUUGGCAGACUGGUUUGGGUUGAACCAAUCGAAGUACCAGUGGGCAUUAAACGAUUACUAUGGGAACAAUGGAAAGGAGAAGGAAGGUUGCAAACUAAAACCAGUUACCAAACUGCAAUCUGUCUGAUUAGUAAAAGAAAAUCUGCUUGAUGAAAUGCCAUUUCAUAAGAACACUACAAAGGAUUAUUCGCUCGCGAUCACCAUCGAAGCUCUAGUGCCAUAGCUUUUUAUCAAAAUGAGGUACCUGUCAGGUUUGAGGAACCUUGAAAAGAGAUCAUCUCAAGCUGCGUGAUCGAGGAAGGAAACACACAGAGAAGGCAGAGAGGAUUGCAGCAGCCAUGCCUCCAUUGGACAAGUUCCUCUGCUCGUGGAAGUAUUUUCGCUCACGGUACCUGAAGCGGGGCUCACACUGAGGGAAGUCAUGUACUGGAAUGGAUUCGUAGGGGGCACGAUCUCCUCUUCGCCCUCGAGCAUCCUCACCACGCUGCUCAUCGAAGGUCUGGCUUCCGGCUGAUACUGCACGCACCACAAAGCCACCUGACACAUCCGCUCUGCUUUCUCCCUGUCCUUCUCCUCUAUACCGCAAGCUGACACUAUGUUCUCCAUUUCGCCAUGCUCAAACUUCUGCCACACCCACCGAGGGAACCACUCAAACUCCUGACUCUCAACUGAUUCCAGGAACUCCAGGUUCCUCCGCCUCCCCAGGAUCUCAAACAGAAGCAUCCCGAAGCUGUAGACGUCGCACUUAUGAGUCACGGGUAUCGGCAUCCACAGCUCCGGCGCGGCGUAGCCGGGAGUUCCCCUGCCGCCGGUGAGCGUCACGUAACUCCUCUCCCUGUCGCAGAACUUCGCCAGUCCAAAGUCGGCAACUUUGGGGUUGAAGUUGGUCGUCAGGAGGACGUUCGCCGGCUUGAUGUCGUAAUGCACUAUCUUCUGCUGGCAUUCCUCGUGCAGGUAUCGGAUCCCCUUGGCCGUGCCCAGCGCGAUCUCCUGCAGCUUCCCCCAUGGAAUGCGGUGGUUCUCGUCGAACAAGAACCGGUCGAGGGAUCCAUUCUCCAUGUACUCGUAGACCAGUGCUUUGAUCGACCUGUCGAAGCAGAAGCCGUACAGCUUCACCAGAUUGAUGUGGUUAGUUCUGCCUAUGGUGCCGACUUCCGCCAUGAACUGCUCCUCGGCUCUCUUGUUCAUGGCCGCCUUCAGAACCUUGACGGCCACCGGCACGCCGUUGGGGAACCGGCCUUUGUAGACUACUCCGAAGCCGCCGAAUCCCAGUUUCUGGUCAUAGUUCUGAGUGAAGCGCUCGAGAUCCUGUGCAGUGAACCUCAUGGGCUUGUCUCUCAUCAUGUCAUCGAGGAAUCUCUCGAUUGGUUCAGCUGCAGCACUCGAGUCGUUCGUUACGGCAAUA